rnacentral:rRNA from 1 species
UUUAAUAAAUAGGCUGAUCCUGAGCAAGCCGGAUCCUGUCUGAUCUCAGAAGCUAAGCAGGGUUGGACCUGGUUAGUACUUGGAUGGGAGACCACCUAGGAAGACCAGGUGCUGUCGGCG